rnacentral:piRNA from 1 species
UCUCGGAAGAUACAUUCGAGUCUAUGUGU